UACGGGGGGGGCAAGCGUUGUUCGGAAUUCCUGGGCGUAAAGGGCUCGUAGGUGGCCAACUCAGUCAGACGUGAAAUCCCUCGGCUUAACCGGGGAACUGCGUCUGAUACUGGAUGGCUUGAGGUUGGGAGAGGGAUGCGGAAUUCCAGGUGUAGCGGUGAAAUGCGUAGAUAUCUGGAGGAACACCGGUGGCGAAGGCGGCAUCCUGGACCGGUAUUGACGCUGAGGAGCGAAAGCCAGGGGAGCAAACGGG
rnacentral:rRNA from 1 species